AGAGUGAACGCUGGCGGCAGGCCUAACACAUGCAAGUCGAACGGCAGCACAGCCCCGCAAGGGGUGGGUGGCGAGUGGCGGACGGGUGAGGAAUACAUCGGAAUCUACCCUGUCGUGGGGGAUAACGUAGGGAAACUUACGCUAAUACCGCAUACGACCCACGGGUGAAAGCGGCGGACCGCAAGGCGUCGCGCGACUGGAUGAGCCGAUGUCCGAUUAGCUAGUUGGCGGGUAAAGCCCACAAGGCGACGAUCGGUAGCUGGUCUGAGAGGAUGAUCAGCCACACUGGAACUGAGACACGGUCCAGACUCCUACGGGAGGCAGCAGUGGGGAAUAGUUGGACAAUGGGCGCAAGGCCUGAUCCAGCCAUGCCGCGUGUGUGAAGAAGGCCUUCGGGUUAGUAAAGCUACGUUUUGUACCGGAAAAGAAAAGCUAACGUAGGUUAACUUACCCGUGGUCGUUCGUGGAACGGUUACCGGAAGAAUAA
rnacentral:rRNA from 1 species